rnacentral:lncRNA from 1 species
ACCUUAGAUACAGUGGAGCCCAGAAGAGGGUUACACAGGUACAUGAGGAGCAAGAACUGAGAAUAGGACUAACAAUGGGAAAGCAAAGGGAGAGUCCAAAGCAAAGUGGGAUGGAGCAUAAACUAACACAACAGGAAUGGGCAGUUUAGCUAGUCAUGAGUUCGUGACAACAGUUGCUGCUUAUUAUUCCUUUGUAGAUUUACAUGUCAUGGAUCAACCUGGAAGUCCAUUGAUUAAGGAAUGUGUCUGACACAGACAAGUGAUGAUAGCUGAAGACAGUUGAUGCUCGACAGGAUUUCAAGACAUCCUGGCCAUCCUGGACCAGGCUGGCCUCACAUU